rnacentral:rRNA from 1 species
UACGUAGGGCGCAAGCGUUGUCCGGAAUUAUUGGGCGUAAAGAGCUCGUAGGCGGUUUGUCGCGUCUGCUGUGAAAACUCGAGGCUCAACCUCGGGCUUGCAGUGGGUACGGGCAGACUAGAGUGCGGUAGGGGAGACUGGAAUUCCUGGUGUAGCGGUGGAAUGCGCAGAUAUCAGGAGGAACACCGAUGGCGAAGGCAGGUCUCUGGGCCGCAACUGACGCUGAGGAGCGAAAGCAUGGGGAGCGCACAGG